rnacentral:rRNA from 1 species
GAUGAACGCUGGCGGCGUGCUUAACACAUGCCAGUCGAACGGAAAGGCCCAAGCUUGCUUGGGUACUCGAGUGGCGAACGGGUGAGUAACACGUGGGUGAUCUGCCCUGCACUUCGGGAUAAGCCUGGGAAACUGGGUCUAAUACCGGAUAGGACCACAUUUUGGAUGGUGUGGUGGAAAGUUUUUCGGUGUGGGAUGAGCUCGCGGCCUAUCAGCUUGUUGGUGGGGUAAUGGCCUACCAAGGCGUCGACGGGUAGCCGGCCUGAGAGGGUGUACGGCCACAUUGGGACUGAGAUACGGCCCAGACUCCUACGGGAGGCAGCGGUGGGGAAUAUUGCACAAUGGGCGCAAGCCUGAUGCAGCGACGCCGCGUGGGGGAUGACGGCCUUCGGGUUGUAAACUCCUUUCGCUAGGGACGAAGCGCAAGUGACGGUACCUGGAGAAGAAGCACCGGCUAACUACGUG